AAACACCAGGCCUCACUGCCUGCCCUCCCCUCUAGCCUCCAGCACACCUGCAGAGCAUGGCAAGCACUCAACCCACAUACCAACACGGGGACAAAGCCCACCGUUUUGGAUCAAGGUUGAAGGGGCAACGGAAACUAGAACAGGCCGCCAUUGUUCUUCUGAAGAGCACAUUCGAUACAAGCGCUGCUUUUGCUCCGGUAACUCAUCCGCACCUCUUCCAUUGUGUGGUCCCACGAUGCUCCUCUGCUUGUGUGUCCAUACAUCAUGUCUGUGCGUGCUGUACCAAAGCAGAUCCCCUACAGAAUAGGCUCCAGAGUGUCAUCCGCACAGAGCUCUCCCCUCACCGCCGGCUGACCGCGGCAUUAUUCCGAUGGGGACUGUUUGACUAAUAAGCAUUUUCGCUUCACGAGCGCUGGCUCUAGUCAAUGCUGCUGCUCUGGAUAUGCACACGGUACAUAGAGGACACCUUCAAUUGGAAAAAGGAAAGCUGGCCGACGCUAUUAAAAGUACCCACUGGUCCGGAAAACACACUGUGAUUUCAUUAUAAGAAUCAUAUAAUGGUCGUAAACACAACAAGUUGCAAUUUCGCUUGGCCAAUUUGCAGAGUAUGUAGAACAGAAACGGCCUUUUCUCUGUUUGAUUCUUUGCCAGUUACAUUGCAUUGCUCCCGAUGUAUUAUUUUGUUUCACUCUCAAUAUUACCGCACUGUUAUAGAGGGAAAACAAAUUCUCCACUGAGCCGGCGUGGAAGCGG
ensembl:lncRNA